rnacentral:lncRNA from 1 species
CUCAACUGUCCCAUCGCCAGUUUCAACGUAGAGAUGCAGAAUAUGUUGAAGGUUUGGCAUUUGCAAAGAAUUUCCAAAGAAUCCUCUCAGGUCACAUUUGCAGACCGCUGUCAACCCCCAGCAACUUCUCUCCUCGCAGGUGAUGCUGGACUUUGCUGUCUCCAAAAACUCAGCUGUGCGUGAGAGAGCUGUGAAGGUGAUUGAGAGGCUGAUUACUUUCAUCCGCUGGUAUUUGGUGAUCAAGAUCUUAGAGAACUUUGAAAACUAUGGCAACGAUGAGCCCACAGAUUUCAACCUGCGCAUCCCCAUCCUGGGCAAGCUGCUGGGCCACCUCUUGCUUUUCAGCAGUGGCGAUGAUUCCAUGAGACACUCAGCUUUGGAAAGUCUUCAUCGCAUGUACACAGUCGUCAGAGAAGGAAGAGGUAAGAAGGUGUGGUGGGCAAUGUCCAUCUGCACACAGACAUCUGCUGGUUUGUCUGCCUGUUCUCCCUGAGUAUUGUGAAGGAUUGCUUUUGUGCUUGGUGGAGGCUGCCCACGGAAUUCUGCCAGGUUCCCUGGCCUCCUCUGCUCCUCACAGCAGCUUCCCGCAGCAUUCUGGCUAUCGUUUCCCGCAGAAGCUAGACGCUCACCUGCCGUCCAGGAGCAGUUCUCUGCUGCUGUCCUUCCCAACCCUCCCCAGAUCACCUACCACGCUCUUUUGUGGUGUCCCCCAGUCUAAGCCAUCAAUCGAUGAGCACUUCCCAAACCGCAUCUUCCCCGAGGAGUGAACAGCAGAGCCAGCCGUGCAUCACCAGGGAUGGUGACGCCCUCCAGAA